rnacentral:rRNA from 1 species
GACGAACGCUGGCGGCGUGCUUAACACAUGCAAGUCGAACGGAAAGGCCCUGCUUUUGUGGGGUGCUCGAGUGGCGAACGGGUGAGUAACACGUGAGUAACCUGCCCUUGACUUUGGGAUAACUUCAGGAAACUGGGGCUAAUACCGGAUAGGAGCUCCUGCUGCAUGGUGGGGGUUGGAAAGUUUCGGCGGUUGGGGAUGGACUCGCGGCUUAUCAGCUUGUUGGUGGGGUAGUGGCUUACCAAGGCUUUGACGGGUAGCCGGCCUGAGAGGGUGACCGGAGAGAGGGGGAGUGAGAGACGGCGGAGGGGAGCCGGGGGGGGAGAGGGGGGGAGUGUUGCACAAUGUGGGGAGGUGGGAGGCGGUACGGCCGCGGGCGGGGUGAGGGGGUGGGGGUUGUAAACCGGUGGAGCGGGUGACGAAGGGGGAGUGGCUGUAGGGGGUAAGGAAGCACCGGCUAACUACGU